CGAAGUCGAUACGCUUUCUCCAGCACAGGCUGCCGAACUGAAACCGAUGCCGCAAAGUUGGCGCGGCGUGCUGCCGUGUGCUGAUUGCGAAGGAAUCGAAACCUCUCUGUUCCUCGAAAAAGACGGAACAUGGGUGAUGAAUGAGCGUUAUCUCGGUGCUCGUGAAGAACCUUCCUCCUUCGCUUCCUACGGUACAUGGGCGCGAACCGCUGACAAGCUGGUAUUAACCGACAGCAAAGGUGAAAAGUCAUAUUAUCGGGCGAAAGGCGAUGCGCUGGAGAUGCUCGAUCGUGAAGGCAAUCCGAUUGAAUCGCAGUUCAACUAUACGCUGGAACCGGCACAAUCUAGUUUACCUAUGACGCCGAUGACCCUGCGAGGCAUGUAUUUUUAUAUGGCUGAUGCGGCGACCUUCACUGAUUGCGCGACCGGAAAACGUUUCAUGGUAGCGAAUAACGCAGAGCUGGAGCGUAGCUACCUGGCUGCGCGCGGUCACAGUGAAAAACCGGUGUUACUGUCAGUAGAAGGUCACUUUACGCUUGAGGCUAAUCCGGAUACUGGUGCGCCAACCAAAGUAUUAGCGCCCGAUACGGCGGGUAAAUUUUACCCGAAUAAGGAUUGCAGUAGUUUGGGGCAGUAAACCUGCUUAAGGCAGAAACAAACGCAAAAUUGCCUGAUGCGCUGCGCUUAUCAGGCCUUGUAUUAUCCCUCCAGUGCAGAGAAAAUCGGCCAGUUUUCUCUGCCUGCAGUCCGCAUGCCGUAUCGGGCCUUGGGUUCUAACCUGUUGCGUAGAUUUAUGCAGCGGACUGCCUUUCUCCCAAAGUGAUAAACCGGACAGUAUCAUGGACCGGUUUUCCCGGUAAUCCGUAUUUGCAAGGUUGGUUUCACUAUGGAACAUGAACUUCAUUAUAUCGGUAUCGACACCGCUAAAGAGAAACUGGAUGUCGAUGUGUUGCGUCCUGAUGGUCGUCAUCGCACCAAAAAAUUCGCUAACACCACUAAAGGGCACGAUGAGCUGGUGAGCUGGCUGAAAGGUCACAAGAUUGACCAUGCGCAUAUCUGCAUCGAAGCGACCGGCACCUAUAUGGAACCUGUCGCUGAGUGCCUUUACGAUGCUGGCUACAUAGUGUCAGUCAUUAAUCCUGCGCUGGGUAAAGCUUUCGCUCAGAGUGAAGGACUGCGUAACAAGACUGAUACCGUGGAUGCGCGCAUGCUGGCAGAGUUCUGUCGUCAGAAGCGCCCUGCAGCCUGGGAAGCGCCUCACCCGCUUGAACGCGCGUUGCGUGCCCUGGUAGUCCGCCACCAGGCGCUGACAGAUAUGCACACGCAGGAACUGAAUCGCACUGAAACGGCGCGGGAAGUCCAGAGACCGAGCAUUGAUGCUCACCUUCUGUGGCUUGAAGCAGAGCUGAAGCGUCUUGAGAAGCAGAUAAAAGACCUGACAGACGAUGAUCCGGAUAUGAAACACCGCAGGAAACUGCUGGAAAGCAUCCCGGGUAUCGGAGAGAAAACAUCUGCGGUAUUGCUGGCUUAUAUCGGUCUGAAGGACCGCUUCGCCCAUGCCAGACAGUUCGCCGCUUUUGCGGGUCUGACACCACGGCGUUAUGAAUCAGGUAGCAGUGUGAGAGGGGCGAGCCGGAUGAGUAAGGCCGGACAUGUGUCGCUUCGCAGGGCGUUGUAUAUGCCCGCAAUGGUAGCCACCAGUAAGACUGAGUGGGGACGGGCGUUCCGCGACCGUCUGGCGGCUAAUGGCAAGAAAGGAAAGGUGAUUCUCGGCGCGAUGAUGCGCAAGCUGGCACAGGUGGCGUAUGGAGUGCUGAAGUCAGGCGUGGCGUUCGAUGCGUCACGGCAUAAUCCGGUAGCGGCGUAAAAAUCGCGGAAGGGAUGAAAAAAACAGCGCCUGACGGCGCUGUGUCUGGCAUGCCUGCAAUCCGGGAAACCGGACCAGGAA
rnacentral:rRNA from 1 species